GUGGCUAUUUUCUAACUGAAACCCUUUUUGGUUAUGGAGUGCGUUUUGGUCAUGGACUGCGCAUUUUUGUGUAUAGUGCGUCGCUCAGAUGGACCUCCGAGGCGCGAAGAAACGGCUGUCGGGGACAUGGCAGCAAGCGAACAUUGACUGAACAUUCAGCACAUGGCUACUGCACACUGAAGCCUGUGCCCAGAGSAGAACUGAACUCAUUUUCUACAUUUGGAAAGAAGAGGUCCGUCUCUAGCUAUGACCCAAGYUUGAGCAGAGAGAGGACAAUCUGAUCAACAGUGACUUUUCUAAAUGUAUAGUGGGACAGACUGUGCAUACAAUUCAAGGUCAUUUUUUUGUGAAUGCUUACUAACUAUUAAUAUCAWCAACCCAUAAAUCAUAACCCUCUGUGAAUAAUGAAAAUGAAAAUAUUUUGUCUGUUUGAAUCCAUGCUCAUUCGAACGUAUAAUUUACAACAUUACACCAUAGUAUUUUGUCUCAAUACAGCCGUGUCUGUCAAUGCUAUCCCUUUUAAUUCACAUGUCCAAUCCUAGUUUAGGAUGAGGGUGGUGAUGAUGAUUGUAAUGGCAAUUAUAGCCACUUGUGGUGAAAAUGAUCUGAGGAUAUUCCAUCUACAGAUUAUGCAUUGCAUUCUGAUGCAAUUAUUUACAGGUAUGCACAGUGCCUUCCACAUGUUUUUACAUUACAGCCUUAUUCUAAAAUGUAUUUAAAAAAAAAUUMUCAUCAAUCUACACACAAUACCCCACAUUGACAAGGCAAAAAGAGGUUUGUAGAAACUUUUGCAAUGUAUUAAACAAACAACUGAAAUAUCACAUUUA